UACGAAGGGUGCAAGCGUUACUCGGAAUUACUGGGCGUAAAGCGUGCGUAGGUGGUGAGUUAAGUCUGAUGUGAAAUCCCCGGGCUCAACCUGGGAAUGGCAUUGGAUACUGGCUCGCUAGAGUGCGGUAGAGGGUGGUGGAAUUCCCGGUGUAGCAGUGAAAUGCGUAGAGAUCGGGAGGGACAUCUGUGGCGAAGGCGGCCACCUGGACCAACACUGACACUGAGGCACGAAAGCGUGGGGAGCAAACAGG
rnacentral:rRNA from 1 species